ensembl:lncRNA
CUUUAAACUCUUUUAUUCCAGACGGAUCCGAGCGUUACACAAAGUGUCGCGGUCAGUAACUCGAUCGAGAAGGUUAAAAAGAGCCGGCGGGUGCCCGGGGGUGGCGGAGGUGCCUCCACCUGUGGAGGUCCCAUGCAGGGACCACUGGAAGACGUGCUGGUGCCGGCGGGUGACCCCCUCCACCACAUCCCAAGGGAUUUGCCGUUAUCGCGGUUCUAAGGUGCAUUCAGAUCAGGGUCUGCAUGAGGAGGGGCAGCUGAGGAUGUUGGGUGCAAAAUAAGCCAUAAUAAAAGGAGGAAAAAGCCAAAAGUGGAUGUUUUCUAAAGCAACCCGGGGUGAUGCCCGGGGCUGGGAGUAUCUACCACCACCAGCACCACUGGUACUGGAGGUAUCUACUACCACCAGGACCAGUUCAAGCCCUCACCACCUGCACACCCAACACUGGGAAUGCUCUCAGAGCCAGGCCAGCUUCCCAAUGAGCUUAUCCAUACCCUAAAAGCCUUGGCUUAAAGGCUGUCAGGGUCUCACCACGACACUCCAGAGACUCCCCUCUUCUGAAGGACACCCCAGGCUCCGGAUUUCCAUCACAGCCCUUCAAGAGGAGCCAACCGAAGCGGAGGGGACACCAACAUCUCUCACCUACGUGGCAUUGGUAUAACCCUGAGAUCUACCAGCAUCACUUGUCCCAGGGUAGAAGAGUCACCCCAACAGAUAGAACCACUGGUAUGGAGUGACCUGCUGCCCAUUCCACCAGGAGCUGGCCACACAUAGGGACGUAGAGCAGAAAGAUGAGCAACAAGCAGAAAUGGAAGGAGCUGAGCUGUGCCCAAGCUGAAAGGUGGGUUGAGGAUAUGGGUGACACAACCCUGGGGUUGUCCCCUGGCCAGCUCAGGGAGCAGCCAACAGAAACAUCUUCCAGAAGGGCCUCAAAACUUCUCGCUGGCACCUUUAGCUGCAACCUGGUCCUCAUUAUUUCUUAAUUAACGUAUCCAAGAAAUCAAUUAACUGCGACAUUUCUAAUUAAAUACUACAGGAGAUGAUCGUCUCAUUAUUAUUAUCUGCCGAGGUGAACAACUUGAUGUGUGUGGUGGGGUUUUCGCUCCCCGUUCCUUCCACUUCCCCAAUUAUAGGGAAUCAGAGAUGCAAAUGGUUGGGUUGUUCUCGCAAACCGAAGGCUCCUCUUUGUACAUUAGGCAAGUCGAAGAGAUUAAUUAGCUAUUAGUGGAUGUGCAUCAUGUUAUCAUUAGCUGUUGUGUGUAGUCUUUUCUGGCACAAUUUGCUGUCCUAAUAAACAACACUAAUGUGCUGCCGCUUCCCCAGCUCCAUGCGUUUCGUUCCCAACGCUGUAGGAAGAGCGGAAUGUGGUAUUUUGGGGUUGGCUGGAGGUCCCACCAUGGAUGGCAGCAAGCGUGCUGAGAUGGUGGUGGGACCGCUGCAUGAGGGAGCCAAAUCUUGAGUUGCUUUGUCAGUGAAACGGUCUUUUAACAUCCAUAAGGGUCAGGUUUGUGCUUUUCUGCUGCUUUUAAAUAAAGAUGCAUCUCAAACAUCCCCUGUGGUGGGAUGGUGGUGGCCUGAAAGCUGAACCUCAUUGGUGUCCCAGCAUGGGGACACCGUGGCCUUGUGUUCUCCAAGAGGUUAGGAGCAUGGGACCACCAAAAGAUGCUCCUCAUACACAUCCUGCUCACCACCAAGGCAGGGGACAGCGAGGGCAAGGGCAGCAAAGAUGGGUCUGCACCACCCUGGAUGUCCAGAGGAAGGGGACACACAUGGGUUUGGAAGAUGUGGGGUCAAGUCCUUGGCCUCCAGCCCCAUGGGUAUCACUGAUACAAGCGCUACCUUGUAUACAGGACCUUCAGAUGCUUUCAGAAGAGGUUAGAAAUGGGAAGAGGAUCCUGUAAGCUGGUGGUUCUCCCUUCCCAGCUCCAAGCAGGAACAUAUCCCCAGUGUUUUGGGCAGGGGACACACAUUUGGACUCACAUUUAGACAACACUUGAGAGCUAACAUUGUUCCCAACCUCCCAGAGGCCAGGAUGGGCUGCCUGCUCCAGCUCCCAAAGACAGACACCGGUGCACGCCUGGCUCAGGACCUGCGAUGUUAUUUCUUUCUCAGCACAAACUGCCGAGUUGACUGAGACCCAUUUCUGUGACACAUGAAGAGAAACAAAUUUGAUGGCAGAGGAUAAAUCCAGACUCAUUUAACCCGUUUGAUUGUCACUUGUUCGCCUGCGCAGCUGCUUUUGAGCCGAGCGCGGUUCCUCUGACAUCCCUCAGGCUGGUCCUCGCCCCCUGCAGCAGGAUCAGGCCCCCGAGAUACACAGCAAGAAGCCCUCAGUCUGUUCUCCUCCAAACCAACACAGUCCUCACUGAGCAUCACUCAAUUAACAUGAUGAGCAUCCCCUGCUAAUUAACAACCUGUGUGGGUGAUGUGCGUGCAGGGAAAGCAUCCAUACACGCUUUCCAUCAUGGAGAACCCUGGGAAUUGGCUCUUUCCUGCAGCAGAACUUGCUCAAUCCGUGCUUUUCCUUGGGUGUCUCCUAAAGAAAUCCAGCAAGCAAAGCACUGAUUCCUUUCCUCCGCUGCAAAUUCCCUGCUCCAUCUGCGGGCCCGGCAGGUAGCCGGAGCUCACACUCUGAAAUCUUUGAUCCAUGAUACAAUGCAAAACCAAAUCCCUGUCUCCCUCCUUGCUCCUCCUCUCCAAAACCUCACAGCAAAGCACAGUUUCCACCACUUCCCCCCCAAAAAAAGCCUGGGAUGAACAAGCUUUGCAACAGAAUGGUUCAGGCAGUGACAAAACCCACCGGAGAAGGGGAAAUGAUCCACCCAGACAGACGCCGGAGCCAGGAGGCUUCUCCCUGUCAACACAAGAGGCUGUUUCUGUCUCAGCCUCGCAUUUCCAUUCAGGAGGAGGAAGAAGAAGGCAAGUUGUGCCUCCGUGCAACACGAUGCAGCUUGGCUCCCAACUUGUGCGGGCUCAGGGAACCAGAAGCUGAAGUUUCGGGCUCAGAGUAGCGUUUUCCCUGUGGCACGCACAUGUGGAUGUGCGUGCAAGGGGGUACCUGCACCCCCAGAAUCCAACAGCGGUCCUCAUCUCCUCCCACACCCUGCAGCAAUGGAAAGGGCCCUUUUUCAGGCACACAGCUCAUCCCAGCUGGAUCCCCAACGCUUUGCCGCUGCAGAUCCCAUCGGCAGGCUGCUGUUUGGGGAUUGACAGCAUCCCUGCUCCCCUUUCUGGGGUUGGAGGUCUGCCCUCCUCUUUUUCACUGCUCCCAGGGCAAAACACAGAGCCUGAUCCUGCACUGUACUGCCCGUAGGACAGAUGCUCAUGAAAAUGUCCCUAGGACAGAUGCCACCUCCCUGCAUCCUCUCCAAAUCCCAAACGGAGCAGAUGGGAUGGCCUUGAUUCCUCCAGAGCAUACAUUCAUCUCAUCUAGUGCAUUAGAACUCUACUGGGUCAAAUCCAGCUGUCCCUCACCCUGUUGUAAAUCCAGAAUAGCUCCAUGAAUGUAGCUGGACCCACUCUGCAUUUCCACCAGGGUCAGGGAGCAGGAGCUGGCCCAGCAGCAGCAGCUAUGGAGAGCCUGGAGCUGGCCUCUCCUCACCUGCACGCUGUCGUGUAAAUCCUCAAAAAUUGAUUUGUUUUGUGCAAUUAUUUCUGAUUCACACCAAGGCAGGGACAGAAUCAGUCUCCCUGAGCUGGCCCCACCAUUGGUGACUCCGGUUCCUACAGGUCUGACUCCAGCACGGAGCAAGAGCCACCAGCAGUGGAGGAGCACAUGGGGGGCUCAGGCCUCCUGACUCCAACCGUUGCAAUAAAUCCUUCUAAUACAUUCUGUGUCAGUGGUGAUUUGGUUUCCCUGCUCCCCCCACCCCCCAAACCCUCAAUAAAUUGUCAUUUGAAGGAUGCCAGCCUGUGCAUUUGGUGCCCAUCAUCCCCAUGACUCC